rnacentral:rRNA from 1 species
CCUACGGGAGGCAGCAGUGAGGAAUAUUGGUCAAUGGUCGGGAGACUGAACCAGCCAAGCCGCGUGAGGGAGGAAGGUACAGAGUAUCGUAAACCUCUUUUGUCAGGGAACAAAGGCGGGGACGUGUCCCCGGAUGAGUGUACCUGAAGAAAAAGCAUCGGCUAACUCCGUGCCAGCAGCCGCGGUAAUACGGCGGAUGCGAGUGUGAUCGUGAUUUAGUGGGUUUAAAGGGUGCGCGGGAGGUCUGUUAAGUCAGAGGUCAAAGCCCGGGGCUCAACCCCGGCCCGCCGUUGAAACUGGUAGUCUCGAGUUGGAGAGAAGUAUGCGGAAUGCGCGGUGUAGCGGUGAAAUGCAUAGAUAUCGCGCAGAACUCCGAUUGCGAAGGCAGCAUGCCGGCUCCACACUGACGCUGAGGCACGAAAGCGUGGGUAUCGAACAGGAUUAGAUACCCUGGUAGUC